UCGUCAGCUGGAACGAGGAAAAAGAAGAACACUCAGUGAAGUCACUGUGAGCUGUGUUGAAACAGAGACACUUGUUGAAAGGACUUACGACUUGUACGACGUGCCCACAGUGUAACAUUCCUAAGAAGCGAUGACAUCGCAUAGGGAGAACUUCGCCAGCAAGGGAACCGUCAGCAGUUUCACUCAUCAUCACCGGUCCGGAACACGACGAAAAAGAGUAUAAACACGUGUGCUGUGCCACAUAUCAGUUGGAACUGGCUGCCACUGGCAACACUGCCCAUCCACCAUCCAUCAGCUGUGCACGAAUGGAUCACUUAUGAUAAAAUCAGUACUGAUUAGUUUGGCGUAAUGCUAUACUCAACCCUUUACGUGAUAAACUGUUACAACAUAUCUGGAAAGUGGUCUUCCUCCGUGGGCUUUCUUUUUUGACUCGUUUUCUUCCCUUUGCGCGUUCCACAUUCCUUCAUUCCUUUUUUCGCCAUGCGCUCGCACACUCUUGAUCCGACUGCAACCGACAUCAGUACCGGUUGACGCAUUUUUAACAAGGUAAGUGCUUUAUGUUUAAGAUUGCACAUGGCUGUACGAUAAUUGCCUGACAAGAUUUUAUUCUAGCCUUCCUUUCCGGGUUCGUCCCACAACAAAAUUUUAAAGCUUCCCACUUUAGCCCCGCUUGGGUCAUUUCCCACAAAACUCCUACCUUACAUUCUAACACUUCUCAUGAACACCAUCUCACGACGUUCUACAAAAAAAAAGUAUUUUCGCACCAGCCAACAUCCAGCGAUAUUUUUCAACACACACACACACACCGCGACUGAGAGUUGGGAGUCGUCCCGCCCGCCUGAGCAGAGAGUGCGCAAAAGCAAUCACAGAACCGGUUUUCAUUUUCGAUCUGACUUAUUUGAUUUAACAGAGUGAGAUCAUUUUGAAAGCUGAUUUUGUACGGAGAACUCAACCCAAGUUUGCGCAUCGGUGGUGGCGGCGGCAGCGGCGGCGACGAGGGACGACACGCGGUUCGAGCAUUCAAAGUGUUAACAAUUACGUAACGGGGUUGUACCCAGAAGGUAAAGGUUUGUGUCAUUGAGAAUAAAAUUUAUUUAAUGAUGAAUUAUCAAUAAAACGCAUUGUAUUUAUUAAAAUCCGAAAUUCCUUAAAUUAUUUUUAUAUAUAUGGAUCAAGUCAACCAUGUUCAAAAAAUUGUCACGCCUGCUACUCUUCCUUUUUUUGGACUCGCUAAAAAGGUCUAUAGAUUACUCAUCCAACAACAAACCGCCCUAAUUCUCCAUAAAAACUUUGGAGAAAAAUCAUUCGGCCAUGUCUAACUAUUUUUGAAAAAAUCAAAGGGCACGUGUUUCUGGAGAAC